rnacentral:lncRNA from 1 species
GGUGUUCCUAAUUUUUGAAGUAAUAUGAAUUACAGUGUUCCUAAAUUCCGAUGAAAUGUUCCUAAUGUCUAACCUAGUGUGAAUUAUGGUGUUCCUACUAUCUGACUAAAGCGAGUUAUAGUGUUCCUUAUGCCUGAAGUCAAGCGAACUAUAGCGUUCCUUAAAUCACACGUAAUGUGAUGCAGAGUUCAUAUUUUAUCUCACGUAAUGUGAUAAUCUAGAGUUUUCAUAAUAUUUGUAUUCUCUUUUAAUUUUAACAGUAACUUGACUGAUGAGGAAUUUUAUCAUAAUGAUAUUUAAAAA